UACGUAGGUGGCAAGCGUUGUCCGGAAUCACUGGGCGUAAAGCGCGCGCAGGCGGCGAUCUACGUCUGGGGUGAAAGCCCGGAGCUCAACUCCGGGACUGCCUUGGAUACGGGAUCGCUUGAGGAUUGGAGAGGCAAGGGGAAUUCCACGUGUAGCGGUGAAAUGCGUAGAUAUCUGAAGGAAUACCGGUGGCGAAGGCGGCAUCCUGGACCGACAUUGACGCUGAGGAGCGAAAGCUAGGGGAGCAAACGGG
rnacentral:rRNA from 1 species